AAACUUUCGUGUCGAAAAUAAUUCGAUAGUCGGCGUUGCCGCGUCCUGCGCGACAUCUAUCCGGGGAAGCGGAAAACGGUUUACGGCGAGUGUGGAACUCGUUCGUUGCCGCAAACAGUUUUGUUUGCGAACAUUUCGUUGAUGUUUGGUCGGUGACACUAUACUUCUAGUAUGUUUUCGAAUGGACCUUCGAGCAUCGAUCGUCUUGGUCCGUGCACUCGUCAAUGUGAUAUCGUCGGACGUUUAUCGGGACGACGGCUCGAGCGUGGAUGUACGACCGUUGUGACCGUGAAAAAUUUAAUCCACAAACGGAAGGCGAGACUAAAUUUUAGGCACCGGGAAAAGAAACAACCAUUAAAUAGAGAGCGGAAUUGCAUGAGAACGCUGGGGUCCUAAAGAUGAAAAAACAAAACUAAUAACGAUCCUGCAAAAGGUGAAUUAAAAAACGAACCAAAGCGGAGUAAAAAUUCGAGGUUCGAGAAGAGCUAAUGUAAAUCCUGCACUAUGUGUGAUAUCGAAAGCAUUGCCAUUAAAUGCCAUAAUUUAAUGGGAGAUUUCGGGUUUACAAGGACAGGUUCGAGGAUUUACAACUACUAUUAGUUUCCUGGAGUGAGACGCUAUCCGAGUCGACAGAAGGUUGUGACGGAUGUUCGUCUGUGAAAGUAUCGAGCGGGGAAAGUCCAGGUGAUCUGAUCCCGCCCCCACGUUUAGAAGUGAAAAACAGAGAAGGUACAAGGACUAUUCUGACAAAAAAUGUUACAAAGAUCACAUUUUAAACAGGAGGGUAUAGCGCUUCAGCAAGAUAUAUCUAUAUUGCUAUUUAUCGCCUAAUUGCAAAUAAAAUAAAAGCAAAACUUCAAUGUAGGUAAUCGAACUUUACUGAAAACAAUUUGCAAGUCACUUUCAGCAGUAGACCACAAUAUAUUGUAUAACAUUUUCUAAUAAAUACUUUCCGCUAACGUCUGUGUUUUUUUUUCAAUGUCAUUAAAUUCUUUUUAUCAAAUUUAUGAAAGUUGAAUAAAGUUUACAAUUAACCAAAAUUCCAAACUUGGACAAAUCAAAAACAGGUUAGGAAAUUUGAGCCUCCCAGCUUGGGCAAACCAUGGACUUCAAAGUUGACUUUGGAACCGUCCCAGGUUUUCUUCAAAAUUGUCGGUUUUUUAUUCUAAUAAAUUAAAAUACGAAUAAUAAUAUUUUUUAAGGCCUAAUUAAAAAAAUAAAAUUGUGCCUAAUAAAUAAUACACAUAUCGAAACUGAAAGUAUGUUAAAUUCGAGUGAGCGAGGCGAGUGACUAAAUUUUUAAGAUAUUUAUAGUUCUCGCCUUAAACCGAAGCAUGUUUCAUUUUGCACGAAACAAAUUUACCAUAGUUUAUGCAAUUUAUGGAAUAUGAUAUCGAGCAUCGAAUAGCACAAACUAGCCAAAACUCACUCAUUUUUCCACAACGCAUCUCGGUGUAAAAACUGUGCAACCACAGAACAGAAACCUACAAUUGUACAAACUUUACAUUAUAGAAUCAUUUAAUUCAGUUCUAUUACAAGUUUCACAAUAUCUAUUUUCAACAUUUCGUUCACAGACAGGUUGACUCUGUUGUGCCAAGUGAUUUGGAGGCGAACAAUGGCCAGAUUUUGUGGUGUUCUGGCUUAAUCUCCCAUGGAAGAGAACCUAGUUACUUUUAAGAAUCGAGCCUACCAUUCUUGGAUAUUGGUAGCUGGCUUGCCGAACCACAGAUGUCCAUUUGUAUGAAAUUGAUUGGCUAUUUGCUUGGAUUCCUUUCAGAAGUCAGAGUGAAAUUUCAACCUCCUAGGACCACUUUUUAUUUUCCGAUUUUCCACCCAUUUCCUUCCCUUCUCAUAGGAGUUAAGUAAAAGUUAGACAAAAAGUGAACGUCUCGACGCGAUCUCCAUGUCUGGCAAAUUUAACCGAAUCACUUGACUUUCCAUCCCCGUUAUGGGUCAUUGCUUACUCAAUUCAGAUUGAUGUAAACAAGACGGUACAACACAUGGGACGUCUUAACCUCUCGUUUAGACGAGAAGCAAUGCUCGGCUACUCAUAUCCAUUCCCUACGACCCUACCACAAUGGACCUGCUGUGGUCAAACUGCUGGGGCGUGGGCUACCCUCCACCUUUUCCAAAUACAAAACCCCCUAAUGGCUCAUCUCAACGAGAUAGAGAGAAAUUUGUACAUUCACAUAUUUCUUUAUUUGAAAUAAUGAUUUACAUUCGCAUGUGACAAAAGCGAAUGAAACGCAAAAAAAAGAAGUCCGCUCUCUAGUUCUCCUGAUUAGGCCCAAUUUCGUCGGUCCACCCGACCACUAAUCCGCUCGCCCAUGUUCGAUUGGAGAGUUCGUAAUCCCCACAGUACUCCAUUUGUCGAUUUGUACAUACCAACCCGGUGUUUACCGUUUGGAGUUCUAUAAAGAGCAAUAGGUGUAAAUAACUCAAUAGCACCAAAGAGAACAUCAUAGAACUACGAGACUAUCAAAUCCACAUCCCUACACUUAAAAAUAUAAUCCCAGUUGACUUUUGACAAAAACAGAUUAAUUUCUUUGUAAAUAGCACACAUAAUAAAAAUAAUCAAAUGCGAUAUUCCUAGGUCAGGUAAUGGCCAAGUUGAAGUUGCAAACGAAAGCUGGGUGAGGUGCAUUCAGCCUUAAUAGCGGCCUAUCACAGAUCGUAACAGAGAUAACAGGCUGCCUAGAGAACAACAAAUCAAGAAAAUUGCCAUACUUAUUUGCGAUUUGUAUGUUUUCAAAUAACCCCAAAUGGGCCACACAAUCGGAAACAACAAUUGCCUCACUUGAGAGAUUCCCGCAAGGCGUAGCACCAGUUUCACUGUUGGACCAUGAUAGUUUAGAGAGACAAAAAUUUUCACACACCUCGGGCGAGGAGACACCUGGGAUAUAAGUAUUGCUGACCAGAAUCUUAUUAACACCCAUGGUUACCUGAAUAAAUAUUGGCUCUACAGUAUUAAUAGGAGGGCUAAGAAGUUGACAGGAUAUAGAGCUCUUCACCACAAUAAGCACUCCUCCCUGAGUCAAACAGUUACUAGUUGCUGCUGACUUAUCGCACCUAAAUACAAAAUAACCAUCCAGGCCAAGUUCACUUGUCAACACACUGCUAUCCAGGAACGUUUCUGUCAACAACAAAACAUUAUAAUCCUCAACAAGGACAGUGCAUAUCAGGGGCUGCACUUUUGUUUUUAUACCCCUGACAUUCAGAGUUUGGUGGUAUGGCUUUUCGAGAAUUCCAGAACGUAAAUGGCCUGAAGAUGAUAUUACUAGGCCAAAAACUGCUAUUAUUUAAGAUAUCAUAAGAUGUUUCACAAAUGCCAACUUUAAAACUUUUAGAAUUAGAUUUGGAGGGCAACUCUCAGCAUGCUGUUGAUUGGAAUUUUUUCAUUUUCUUUGAUACAGUCAAGGACAAUUUGGGGAUUGGAAAACUGUAUCAUUUUGAAAGCCCGAACGGCCAAACUCGGUAUCACCGUAUUGACGACUAAACCUUAAAGUGUCCAUGUUGUAUACAAUUAAAAGUUACACAGAUUACGCAGACUUAUAUGCAUAUGCUUUUUAGAUUAUAAUAGGAUAAAACUUUAAGUUAGGAGUCGAGGUCGGACAGCCUCUCCCUAGUAACAAUACUAGGGAAUUUUAAAUUAUAUGUAUUUGAAUCUGUUGUUUUUUCUCAGAUCUGACGCGCCUGGUCCCAUGAUUCAUCCUAGGCCAGGAACGCCCGUCCCAAGCUCCAUAGUGCUGGAGUUUGUCUUUUUUUUGUUUUUUAGAUGUGGCCGUCUUGCCUGUUUAUCUUUAGUGUUUGUGUGUUCUGAGCCUGCCCACUAAUGGACCCUAUCUCAUCAGCAGCUUUUUAUGCCUCUUAAAUGGAAACGGAAGUCUGAAAAGUAAGCUUCCCUAGGAGAACAGUCUCGAUUAUCUGGAGCAGUUCGAAAUAGUGCUGGCAAAUUACCUAGCAGCAGCGCCAACCCCAAAUAAGAAGACAAGAAGAAGAUCACCCAGAACUUUGGCCGGCACAAAAACUCGCAAUCAUCGUUGGGAAACUUUAUUUGAUUUAGAAGGAAACGGGUGAAGAUAAUUCCUUAACAAAAAACAAUAAGUUAAAAAAAACGAUAAGUGGCAUUUGCCGCACAAAAAAUAUCGGACAUACCUUAACG